rnacentral:rRNA from 1 species
UGAGCAAUCUGCCCUUCUCAUCGGAAUAAGCGUUGGAAACGACGUCUAAUGCCGAAUACGACCUCCUUUCGCAUGAUCGGAGGUGGAAAGCUCCGGCGGAGAAGGAUGAGCUCGCGGCCUAUCAGCUAGUUGGUGUGGGUAAUGGCCCACCAAGGCGACGACGGGUAGCCGGCCUGAGUGGGUGACCCGGCCACACUGGGACUGAGACACGGCCCAGACCUCCGUACGGGAGCAG